GCGCGGCCGAGAGAGAUGUGCUGUAGCGCACUGCUGCAGUAUACUGCUGCCCCCUAGCGGGCGGACGCCCCGCACCGUCACACGCAGCUCAAAUAGGGAAGCGGCGCCGGCAAGAACGCGCGUCUCUCGUCGCAGCAGCGCCGGAGUCCGCAGCGCCCACUUUAAUCUCAUUAACGCUUUAGGGCUUCCUCUCUAAUUGAGUUAGACGUUGCUGAACUACGUUUGUGGCUCCCCGCGUUAUUUUUUUUUCUCAACAGUACUGGGAUAUACAGUGUUUUUUUUUAUUGUAUUUGCAUAUGCUAAGCCUAAGGGCUCCGCUGGAUCCUGUCAUUCUCUGGCUUUAUUUUUUUUUCCAGAACCUGACGCUCGAGUAACUAAGUAUUGGUGUGUGUCACUGCGGAUCUGCCAUGUGUUUCCCUGAGCUUUCUUCCAAGCUAUAUGCAGUGGAAUGCGCACAGUUCUGAGUUGGAGAAAAGUGUCUGUGAAAUACAUAAAAGCAAAGGAAUCAUUUCAACAUGCAGUAAUACUUUAAACCGCAGAUCACUGGGGAAAGUAAAAGAAGAUUAUGAACCUUGGAAGUAUGGAACAUUUUUCUCUGGCUGGGCACUCAACAUACCUCCCACUCUACCUGCAUGGCUGCGCUUAAUACCUGUCACCAGGAUGAAGCGCAAGGACUCUUCAUCAGUUUUCAUCCAGAGGCUGGUUAUACAGAAAGUGAAGUUUUAUGCUACUGUUCUUGUGUCUGGGAAAAUACAAAGAGACUCUGUGUGUGUAAUGGCAACAAAGUAUGAGACAAAUGUCAAAUUCAUCCAAGACUUGUGAUAAAGAUGUGUGAUAAAUAACUUGUGAGCCCCUGUCAUGUGGCAGUUCUUCAGCAGAGCCUACUCAAGUGUGAACUGGUUAAUGAGAAACCGAAAUGAAAUGAGUUUGGUAGAGACCUGAUGAGGACAGGCAGGACAAGGGCAGCUGGAAAUAAGGAAUCAGUUACAAGUUGUGUUGCUGUUUAAAUGUGUUACUUAAUAUAAUAAAAUCCAAACAGAUACAAACA
rnacentral:lncRNA from 1 species